rnacentral:lncRNA from 1 species
AUCUGUGACGUUGCAAAACUUGUGCCUAUCUGUAGAACUGCGCUUUCCCGCCGUCCAUAAUUUUUCCCGCGUCAAUGUAGCCGUAAUUAUGAAAACGAUGUAUAAGUUAUUUUACGGAAGUUAAAUAUGCUCUAAGAUUGUCAUAAACGAUGUUUUUAAUACAAGAUUAUUUACAAAUACAACUUUUAACCUUGGAAUAUAUAUUUUUUUAUCUUUCUUGUCUUAAAAUAAAGUGAAAAUAAUAUACCAAUUGCUAUACUAUCUUUAAGGGCGACUUUGUUUUAUCUUUGUAUAGUGAAAUGCAUAAAUGAUUCUUAACCAUGCACCUAUAAAAUAGUAAAAUAUUUAUUCUCGUUUUAUUUUAUUAGGUAAUUGGUAUAAACACUGUAAAAAAAUCUCUCAAAUCAUUAUAUAAAC